rnacentral:lncRNA from 1 species
CAAGACGUUGCCAGUGCUUUCUCAUGUCUGCUACACGAGGUAACACAUCUGUGUAUAAUAAAACUAUUCCAUUAAACAAUGUUCCUCUGAGAUUAGUCUUGAAUGGUCGAUUGAAUUAUAUGUUAGUAGUGUUUAGCAUGUUUGGUUUACGGUUAGCAGCUGUGAUUCUGAUUCAUGAUGAUUUGUUGCAGUGCUCAGGAUAAGCUGCUUCACAUUCUUCCUUUCUUGAAGCUAGAAUUGGUUCAGAACAACAAAUAUAAAACUCAUCCAACAUGAUAGACAUUGGUUUUGAUCUGCUGCCACUUUGAACUAAAGUCUUACCAUUGGUGUUUUAAGAUUCUUACCCUGUCCUUGAAACCUUUUUAAUGCACUGG